rnacentral:lncRNA from 1 species
UUUGACGUGGAAGAAGUCUUAGAUUCAAGGCAGUGUCGUAUUAUGUGGCGUUUGGCUUGAAAAUGCAUUGGACACUUAGCUGUGGAAGUUAAAAGUGAAAUUGCAACAAGUCUUAAGAACUCUAAUUGAUUUGUAAAUAAAUUAUAAUUAAAGAUUAGAAAAUAUAAUAAAAUACUAAUUAAAUUCAAUCAAAAUUUAGAAGGAAUUAUGUAAGUAAUAGAAAGUAUUUCUAGAGAUCCUUUAAAGAAUCAUAAAGAAAUAACAUAGAAAUUCAAAAAUAUACUAAAAUAGAAAUCUUAAUAAAAUAUUAAAAUAGAAAUCUUAAUUAAAUUCUAAUCAAAAUCUAAUAAAAUUCUAAUCAAAUCCUAAUCAAAUUCUAAUUAAAUUCUAAAUAAAACCUAGUCAAAUCCUAAACAAACCUUAACCAAAUUUUAGUCAAAUUCUAAAAAAAUUCUAACCAAAUCCUAACCAAAUUCUAAAAAAAUUCUAAAUAAAUCCUAAUCAAAUUCUAAAUAAAUCUUGAUCAAAUCCUAAACAAAUCCUAAAAAAAUCUUAAUCAAAUCCUAACCAAAUUAUAAAUAAAUCCUAAUAAAAUCCUAAAUAAAUUCUAAUCAAAUCCUAAACAAAUCCUAAACAAAUCCUAAUCAAAUCCUAAAUAUAUCCUAAUAAAAUCAUAAACAAAUCUUAAAUUAAUUCUAAUUAAAUCCUAAAUAAUCCUAAUCAAACUCUAAUUGAUCCCUAAACAUACUCUAAUCAAAUUCUAAAUAAUCUCAAAUAAUUCCUAUAGCAAUUUUAAACCUCAUUAACUAAUGAAUGAACCAUUGAUUUUAACUAAAAUUUUACAUACCUCUUAAAAAUUAAAUUCAAAACAAGCACAAAUUUUUUGAAAAAGAUCAAACUCACUAAAAAGAAGAUCAAUCCUAAUAUUUGCUCGGAUAUUGGCUGGCCUC